rnacentral:rRNA from 1 species
UGGGGGAUAUUGCACAAUGGGCGAAAGCCUGAUGCAGCGACGCCGCGUGGGGGAUGAAGGCCUUCGGGUUGUAAACUUCUUUUGCUCUGAACAAGGCGCACCAUGGGGUGUGUUGAGUGUAGGGGUUGAUGAGCGCCGGCUAACUACGUGCCAGCAGCCGCGGUAAUACGUAGAGCUCGAGCGUUGUCCGGAAUUAUUGGGCGUAAAGGGCUUGUAGGUGGCUGGUUGCGUCUGUCGUGAAAGCUCAUGGCUUAACUGUGGGUUUUCGGUGGGUACGGGCUGGCCUGAGUGCAGUAGGGGAGGCUGGAAUUCCUGGUGUAGCGGUGGAAUGCGCAGAUAUCAGGAGGAAUACCGGUGGCGAAGGCGGGUCUCUGGGCUGUUACUGACACUGAGGAGCGAAAGCAUGGGGAGCGAACAGG